rnacentral:rRNA from 1 species
AUUGAACGCUGGCGGCAGGCUUAACACAUGCAAGUCGAACGAGUGGCGGACGGGUGAGUAAUGUCUGGGAACCUGCCUGAUAGCGGGGGAUAACUACUGGAAACGGUAGCUAAUACCGCAUACCAUCAGAUGUGCCGAUAUGGGAUUAGCUAGUUGGUGGGGUAACGGCUCACCAAGGCGACGAUCCCUAGCUGGUUUGAGAGGAUGACCAGCCACACUGGAACUGAGACACGGUCCAGACUCCUACGGGAGGCAGCAGUGGGGAAUAUUGCACAAUGGGCGCAAGCCUGAUGCAGCCAUGCCGCGUGUAUGAAGAAGGCCUUCGGGUUGUAAAGUACUUUCAGCGGGGAGGCGUUACCCGCAGAAGAAGCACCGGCUAACUCCGUGCCAGCAGCCGCGGUAAUUC